rnacentral:rRNA from 1 species
GACGAACGCUGGCGGCGUGCUUAACACAUGCAAGUCGAACGGUGAAGCUCCAGCUUGCUGGAGUGGAUCAGUGGCGAACGGGUGAGUAACACGUGAGCAACCUGCCCCUGACUCUGGAAUAAGCGCUGGAAACGGCGUCUAAUACUGGAUACGAGAAGGGUCCGCAUGGGCACUUUCUGGAAAGUUUUUCGGUUGGGGAUGGGCUCGCGGCCUAUCAGCUUGUUGGUGAGGUAAUGGCUCACCAAGGCGACGACGGGUAGCCGGCCUGAGAGGGCGACCGGCCACACUGGGACCGAGACACGGCCCAGACUCCUACGGGAGGCAGCAGUGGGGAAUAUUGCACAAUGGGCGAAAGCCUGAUGCAGCGACGCCGCGUGAGGGAUGACGGCCUUCGGGUUGUAAACCUCUUUCAGCAGGGAAGAAGCGAAAGUGACGGUACCUGCAGAAGAAGCACCGGCUAACUACGUG